GACGAACGCUGGCGGCGUGCCUAAUACAUGCAAGUCGAGCGGACCGAAUGGAAGCUUGCUUCUGUUCGGUUAGCGGCGGACGGGUGAGUAACACGUGGGUAACCUGCCCGUAAGACCGGGAUAACUCCGGGAAACCGGAGCUAAUACCGGAUAACACCGAAGACCGCAUGGUCUUUGGUUGAAGGGUGGCUUUUGCUACCACUUACGGAUGGGCCCGCGGCGCAUUAGCUAGUUGGUGAGGUAACGGCUCACCAAGGCGACGAUGCGUAGCCGGCCUGAGAGGGUGACCGGCCACACUGGGACUGAGACACGGCCCAGACUCCUACGGGAGGCAGCAGUAGGGAAUCUUCCGCAAUGGACGAAAGUCUGACGGAGCGACGCCGCGUGAGCGAAGAAGGUCUUCGGAUCGUAAAGCUCUGUUGUUAGGGAAGAAGAAGUACCGUUCGAAUAGGGCGGUACGGUGACGGUACCUAACGAGAAAGCCCCGGCUAACUACGUGCCAGCCGCCGCCGUAAUAC
rnacentral:rRNA from 1 species